rnacentral:rRNA from 1 species
CACGGGGGAGCAAGCGUUGUUCGGAUUCAUUGGGCGUAAAGGGCUCGUAGGUGGCUUUGUAAGUCGGAGGUGAAAUCCUGGAGCUCAACUCCAGAACUGCCUUCGAUACUGGAAGCUCGAGUCCGGGAGAGGUGAGUGGAACUGCGAGUGUAGAGGUGAAAUUCGUAGAUAUUCGCAAGAACACCAGUGGCGAAGGCGGCUCACUGGCCCGGUACUGACGCUGAGGUGCGAAAGCGUGGGGAGCAAACAGGGAU